GGGUUGUGAGGUUAAGCGACUAAGCGUACACGGUGGAUGCCCUGGCAGUCAGAGGCGAUGAAGGACGUGCUAAUCUGCGAUAAGCGUCGGUAAGGUGAUAUGAACCGUUAUAACCGGCGAUUUCCGAAUGGGGAAACCCAGUGUGUUUCGACACACUAUCAUUAACUGAAUCCAUAGGUUAAUGAGGCGAACCGGGGGAACUGAAACAUCUAAGUACCCCGAGGAAAAGAAAUCAACCGAGAUUCCCCCAGUAGCGGCGAGCGAACGGGGAGCAGCCCAGAGCCUGAAUCAGUGUGUGUGUUAGUGGAAGCGUCUGGAAAGGCGCGCGAUACAGGGUGACAGCCCCGUACACAAAAAUGCACAUACUGUGAGCUCGAUGAGUAGGGCGGGACACGUGGUAUCCUGUCUGAAUAUGGGGGGACCAUCCUCCAAGGCUAAAUACUCCUGACUGACCGAUAGUGAACCAGUACCGUGAGGGAAAGGCGAAAAGAACCCCGGCGAGGGGAGUGAAAAAGAACCUGAAACCGUGUACGUACAAGCAGUGGGAGCCUCUUAAUGGGGUGACUGCGUACCUUUUGUAUAAUGGGUCAGCGACUUAUAUUCUGUAGCAAGGUUAACCGAAUAGGGGAGCCGAAGGGAAACCGAGUCUUAACUGGGCGUUAAGUUGCAGGGUAUAGACCCGAAACCCGGUGAUCUAGCCAUGGGCAGGUUGAAGGUUGGGUAACACUAACUGGAGGACCGAACCGACUAAUGUUGAAAAAUUAGCGGAUGACUUGUGGCUGGGGGUGAAAGGCCAAUCAAACCGGGAGAUAGCUGGUUCUCCCCGAAAGCUAUUUAGGUAGCGCCUCGUGAAUUCAUCUCCGGGGGUAGAGCACUGUUUCGGCAAGGGGGUCAUCCCGACUUACCAACCCGAUGCAAACUGCGAAUACCGGAGAAUGUUAUCACGGGAGACACACGGCGGGUGCUAACGUCCGUCGUGAAGAGGGAAACAACCCAGACCGCCAGCUAAGGUCCCAAAGUCAUGGUUAAGUGGGAAACGAUGUGGGAAGGCCCAGACAGCCAGGAUGUUGGCUUAGAAGCAGCCAUCAUUUAAAGAAAGCGUAAUAGCUCACUGGUCGAGUCGGCCUGCGCGGAAGAUGUAACGGGGCUAAACCAUGCACCGAAGCUGCGGCAGCGACACUAUGUGUUGUUGGGUAGGGGAGCGUUCUGUAAGCCUGUGAAGGUGUACUGUGAGGUAUGCUGGAGGUAUCAGAAGUGCGAAUGCUGACAUAAGUAACGAUAAAGCGGGUGAAAAGCCCGCUCGCCGGAAGACCAAGGGUUCCUGUCCAACGUUAAUCGGGGCAGGGUGAGUCGACCCCUAAGGCGAGGCCGAAAGGCGUAGUCGAUGGGAAACAGGUUAAUAUUCCUGUACUUGGUGUUACUGCGAAGGGGGGACGGAGAAGGCUAUGUUGGCCGGGCGACGGUUGUCCCGGUUUAAGCGUGUAGGCUGGUUUUCCAGGCAAAUCCGGAAAAUCAAGGCUGAGGCGUGAUGACGAGGCACUACGGUGCUGAAGCAACAAAUGCCCUGCUUCCAGGAAAAGCCUCUAAGCAUCAGGUAACAUCAAAUCGUACCCCAAACCGACACAGGUGGUCAGGUAGAGAAUACCAAGGCGCUUGAGAGAACUCGGGUGAAGGAACUAGGCAAAAUGGUGCCGUAACUUCGGGAGAAGGCACGCUGAUAUGUAGGUGAAGUCCCUUGCGGAUGGAGCUGAAAUCAGUCGAAGAUACCAGCUGGCUGCAACUGUUUAUUAAAAACACAGCACUGUGCAAACACGAAAGUGGACGUAUACGGUGUGACGCCUGCCCGGUGCCGGAAGGUUAAUUGAUGGGGUUAGCGGUAACGCGAAGCUCUUGAUCGAAGCCCCGGUAAACGGCGGCCGUAACUAUAACGGUCCUAAGGUAGCGAAAUUCCUUGUCGGGUAAGUUCCGACCUGCACGAAUGGCGUAAUGAUGGCCAGGCUGUCUCCACCCGAGACUCAGUGAAAUUGAACUCGCUGUGAAGAUGCAGUGUACCCGCGGCAAGACGGAAAGACCCCGUGAACCUUUACUAUAGCUUGACACUGAACAUUGAGCCUUGAUGUGUAGGAUAGGUGGGAGGCUUUGAAGUGUGGACGCCAGUCUGCAUGGAGCCGGCCUUGAAAUACCACCCUUUAAUGUUUGAUGUUCUAACGUUGGCCCCUGAUCGGGGUUGCGGACAGUGUCUGGUGGGUAGUUUGACUGGGGCGGUCUCCUCCUAAAGAGUAACGGAGGAGCACGAAGGUUGGCUAAUCCUGGUCGGACAUCAGGAGGUUAGUGCAAUGGCAUAAGCCAGCUUGACUGCGAGCGUGACGGCGCGAGCAGGUGCGAAAGCAGGUCAUAGUGAUCCGGUGGUUCUGAAUGGAAGGGCCAUCGCUCAACGGAUAAAAGGUACUCCGGGGAUAACAGGCUGAUACCGCCCAAGAGUUCAUAUCGACGGCGGUGUUUGGCACCUCGAUGUCGGCUCAUCACAUCCUGGGGCUGAAGUAGGUCCCAAGGGUAUGGCUGUUCGCCAUUUAAAGUGGUACGCGAGCUGGGUUUAGAACGUCGUGAGACAGUUCGGUCCCUAUCUGCCGUGGGCGCUGGAGAACUGAGGGGGGCUGCUCCUAGUACGAGAGGACCGGAGUGGACGCAUCACUGGUGUUCGGGUUGUCAUGCCAAUGGCACUGCCCGGUAGCUAAAUGCGGAAGAGAUAAGUGCUGAAAGCAUCUAAGCACGAAACUUGCCCCGAGAUGAGUUCUCCCUGACUCUUUAAGGGUCCUGAAGGAACGUUGAAGACGACGACGUUGAUAGGCCGGGUGUGUAAGCGCAGCGAUGCGUUGAGCUAACCGGUACUAAUGAACCGUGAGGCUUAACCUUACAACGCCGAAG
rnacentral:rRNA from 1 species